AGGGUUUGAUCCUGGCUCAGAACGUACGCUGGCGGCACGCCUAACACAUGCAAGUCGAACGAAGUAGCAAUACUUAGUGGCAGACGGGUGAGUAACAUGUAGGUAUCUACCCUUUGGCCUGGAAUAACACGAGGAAACUUGUGCUAAUACCGGAUAAGUCUUUACGGAGAAAGCUUUAUGCACCAUUGGAUGAGCCUGCACUUGAUUAGUUUGUUGGUAGGGUAAUGGCCUACCAAGACUUUGAUCAAUAGCUGAUUUGAGAGGAUGAUCAGCCACAUUGGGACUGAGACACGGCCCAAACUCCUACGGGAGGCAGCAGUGGGGAAUCUUGCACAAUGGAGGAAACUCUGAUGCAGCGAUGCCGCGUGAGUGAAGAAGGCCUUUGGGUUGUAAAGCUCUUUCGUCGGGGAAGAAAAUGACUGUACCCGAAUAAGAAGGUCCGGCUAACUUCGUGCCAGCAGCCGCGGUAAUACGAAGGGACCUAGCGUAGUUCGGAAUUACUGGGCUUAAAGAGUUCGUAGGUGGUUGAAAAAGUUGGUGGUGAAAUCCCAGAGCUUAACUCUGGAACUGCCAUCAAAACUUUUCAGCUAGAGUUUGAUAGAGGAAAGCAGAAUUUCUAGUGUAGAGGUGAAAUUCGUAGAUAUUAGAAAGAAUACCAAUUGCGAAGCAGCUUUCUGGAUCAUUACUGACACUGAGGAACGAAAGCAUGGGUAGCGAAGAGGAUUAGAUACCCUCGUAGUCCAUGCCGUAAACGAUGUGUGUUAGACGUUGGAAAUUUAUUUUUCAGUGUCGCAGCGAAAGCGAUAAACACACCGCCUGGGGAGUACGACCGCAAGGUUAAAACUCAAAUGAAUUGACGGGGACCCGCACAAGUAGUGGAGCAUGUGGUUUAAUUCGAAGAUACGCGCAGAACCUUACCAACACUUGACAUGUUCGUCGCGACUUUAAGAGAUUAAAGUUUUCGGUUCGGCCGGACGAAACACAGGUGCUGCAUGGCUGUCGUCAGCUCGUGUCGUGAGAUGUUGGGUUAAGUCCCGCAACGAGCGCAACCCUCACUUUUAGUUGCCAUCAUUAAGUUGGGCACUCUGAAAGAACUGCCAGUGAUAAGCUGGAGGAAGGUGGGGAUGACGUCAAGUCCUCAUGGCCCUUACGUGUUGGGCUACACACGUGCUACAAUGGUAUUUACAAAAGGAAGCAAAACGGCGACGUUUAGCAAAUCCUAAAAAAAUACCUCAGUUCGGAUUGCACUCUGCAACUCGAGUGCAUGAAGCUGGAAUUACUAGUAAUCGUGGAUCAGCGUGCCACGGUGAAUGCGUUCCCGGGUCUUGUACACACCGCCCGUCACACCAUGGGAGUUGGUUCUACCUUAAGGCAAGGUUUAAAACCCUUGACCACGGUAUAGUCAGCGACUGGGGUGAAGUCAUAACAAGGUAGCCGUA
rnacentral:rRNA from 1 species